ensembl:lncRNA
GCAGACUCAGCCCAAUUGCAGACUCACACUAGCAUCAGGGAGCUCCAGACAGCAAUGGUGGAGUGUCUCCAAAGUCCUCAGGGAAACUAUUUUGAACCUAGCUUUCUACACUCAGCCAAAUUUCAAGUGUGAGGGCUAGAGAACGGCGCUUGCUACUAUGUAAGAAUUCAGUAUGUUUAGUAAUCACACAGCCAGGAAGAAAAAAUUACUUCUGAGGUAACCCAGCAAAAUCUAAAAAUAAGCCAAGAAAGAAGAAAACAUGAGAUAUAAGAAGCUGCAGCUACCCGAUAUGACCCAAGAAGGUUUACAGACAUGAAAAAGAAAAUUAAAGUGCUGGAGAAGACUGAGAGUCAUUUGGACUGCCAGGAGAUCAAACCAAUCAAUACUGAAGAAAAUCAACCCUGAAUAUUCAUUGAAAGGAUUGAUGCUGAAGCUCCAAUAUUCUGGCCACCUAAUGCAAACAGCCGACUCACUGGAAAAGAUUCUGAUGCUAGGAAAGAUUGAAGGCAGGAGGAGAAGUGGGUGGCAGAGGAUGAGAUGGUUAGAUAGUAUCACCAACUCAAUGGUCAUGAAUUUGAGUAAAGUCCAGGAGACAGUGAAAGACAGGGAAGUCUGGUGUGCUGCGGUCCGUGGGGUUAGAAAGAGCUGGACACAACUUAGCGACUGAACAACAACAAAUUGCAUAAAUACUAAUGCAAUUUAAAAAUAGGAGUUAAAUAGAAGACAUUCACGUUACAAAUUCCUCACAUUUUUUACCUUGAAGCCAGUGUAUAUGCCUGAAUUGGAUAAAAAUAAGAAAUAGAAGAAUAAUUAUAUAUUUUUAAAUUAAAGUGAAAACUGUUAGAAGCAGAAACAGAAAUUGUUAGUAGAAUAGGAGGACACUGGGGAUUAAGGAAAGGGAGAUUUUACUUUUUAUUUUAAAUAUGCCUAUGUGGUGUGAUAAAACACAAAACAAAACGUGAGCAUGCACCACCUUUAUGGUUAUAUAUCUUCAGCAUCUUUCCAGGUGUAACCCAAAUGUUACCAGCCUGCUGAUAUAAUUGAGAUCACAUUUAUAUUUACGUUUGAAAUGUGUGUGUGCUCACUCAGCCGUGUCCGAUUCUUUGCAG